rnacentral:ncRNA from 2 species
UAGUUAAAAUUUAAUAAAGCUUAUUUAUGCUACGAAUGGGCGUAGCGUUUCUACAAGGCACCGUAAUGUCUAACAAUAAGUCAAUUUCUCAGUAAG